GUCAAUGAGCAGAUACUGUCUGACAAAAAAUAAUGUGCAGAUAUGAGAAUGGGAGCAUCCCAUCAUAACAAUUGUCUGCCCCAGCACAGAUUCCUUCCCAACCAUCUUGGCCACAUGUGAAGGUGAGGCCCUUUAUCUUAUUUGCCAAAUUAACAAGAACCCCAACGCAAAUAAUUUCUCAUUUCUUGGCGAACUCAAGUUUGAAAUCUCUGCUCAGUGCUUACGCUUCUGGUUAGCUUGGUUCAUAGAGAGCUAGCUGUCCAAAAAUGGCACCAUCAUCAGCAACCUGCGUGGUUGGCUCUGCAACUACUCUUCUUCAGCCCCUUCUCCGUAAAAGAACCAUCCCCUUCAAUUCUUAUCAUAACGGUGCGUUUUGGACUUGGAAGGAGAACAAGAAGCAGCGGAAACUUACUUUCACUUCUACUUCUCUCUCAUCCAAGACUUGUUCUUGGCGUCCAAUUUCUGCCUCGCCUUUCGAUCUUUCCCCUCCACCUAUCGAUCUCGACCUCCUGGAAACAUUGACGGCAGAUGGGGCAAAAGCUUCAGAAGACGGGAUCAUUGAGACAUUUGAUAACGAUGAUGAAGCAUUAGAUGCUUUUGAUAAUGGGGUUGUGGUUUUGGACCUUUCACAUUUUGGACGGAUAAGAGUCAGUGGAGAUGAUCGCAUUCAGUUUCUUCACAACCAAAGCACUGCAAAUUUUGAAUGUCUUCUUGAAGGACAGGUUUUGUUCGGUUCAAAUCCAUAGGGAUGCGAUACUGUUUUUGUUACACCAACGGCUCGGACAAUAGACAUUGCCUAUGCAUGGAUCAUGGUAGUCUCUUUUACCUUGUUAGUUGAUUUUCCAGCAGCCGCAAAUAUUCUAUGAUGACUUAUUAAGGCUGUGUGCAACCUGCAGAAAAAUUCAAUUAUGUUGGUGGUCUCACCAGUAACCUGUGGCAGCAUAAUUCAAAUGCUGAAUAAGUAUGUAUGGCGUGUGUU
rnacentral:misc_RNA from 1 species